CUUGAUAUAUAUAAGAGGUCCCGCCUGCCCAGUGACAAAUGUUCAACGGCCGCGGUAACCUAACCGUGCUAAGGUAGCGUAAUCACUUGUUCUCUAAAUAAGGACUAGUAUCAACGGCAUCACGAGGGCUUUACUGUCUCCUUUCUCCAAUCAGUGAAACUGAUCUCCCCGUGAAGAAGCGGAGAUUUUAUUAUAAGACGAGAAGACCCCAUGGAGCUUUAAGCAACGCGCUUACCUUUUAUUGUUAUAUCAACUUAAUUAAACACCUAAGCACUAGCUUUAGGCUGGGGAGACCACGGAGUAAAACCUAACCUCCGCGACAAAUGGGCCACGCCCUUAUCCACGAGAUACAACUCUAAGAAUUAAUAAACUAAUGUUUAAUGACCCGAUAAUUCGAUCAACGAACCA
rnacentral:rRNA from 1 species